CUUAAAAAGCUUGAUAAACCACUUGAGAAAAGUCAGCUAAGCUUUCUCGCGUCUAUUUUAAUUCAGGACUGGCGCAAAGCGCGACGUGGGACGUAAAAUAUCUUAAAUUAGUCCACUUGGAAAUGAGCAGGCGCAUUGAGUCUAACCUCCAAAUAUCUCAUCCCUACAUAAACCAUUUAAUAUUUAAAGAUGAUGGUUAUCACAAUUUGGCAUUCGUCAACGAAUUGUCCGAAAAUUAUCGUGCGUACUCAGCCUAUUAAUCACCAAAUUUUCAUCAGUAAAAAAUCAUCGAAAAAUACGAUUUCUCAUGCGACUUUCUUUGAAAUACUUCAAACUAAGGUGCGAAUGAAUGUAAUGUCCAGUCUACAGCCUUGGUCAACUUACCCAAGGGUAUCGGCUCUAUACUUUUACUUGAAAAACAGCUGAAUUCAAAGCGUGAUACAAGGAUGACGGUUGCGCCUGCAAAUGAGCUGGUUUGCCCAUGUCUUGAGGUGAUGGCGUGUGAACCGGAGGUGUAGUCGUAGGGGGUGGUCCCUGAGGUUGCUGAGACUGUACUCCGGGUGUUUGCGACUGUGGAGGAGCCUGCUGCGCCCCUGUUUGACCUCCUUGGGGUAUACCCGUUGCAGAUUGUCCGAUGCUCUGUAUACUUCCAAGUGGCGGGGGCCCUCUACCUCCGGGUACACCUACGCUACCCCCACCCCCACCAACCUGACCACCAGGUUGACCUCCGUAGUUCUGUCCAGGCACAUGAAAGUUCACGUCUGAUCCUGCAAAACGAAGGAAUUCCAAAAGCUUGAUUAUAUUGUUGUUUCAACUGUAUAAAUACAUAAUGAUUGAUAUUCAAUCAAAGGUGCAGAUGUCUCGAAUAAAUUCAUCAAGACAGGUUGCGAUUUAAAGAAUUGAGCAAAGUAAGAAAACUCAGGAUACUUGUACAAAACUUGCAGAAUGCAAGAGACGAUAAGGUGAUUAAACGACGUUGAUAAAUAAUGAUUUUCAACUGACCUAUAGGAGCUCCCACGUAAGCAUAAGUGGGCAGCAUGUUCGAUUCGGUAGCAUUUGCCAUAAUAAAUUGGAUACUCGAAAUAUUGGUUAUGUCAUUUUGUGAUAAAUAUGUACGGCCGUUGAAUAGUUUUAUAAUACUCUACUCCGUGAAAAGUAGCAUACUUAAAAAUAAAUUUCGAAAUGAAAAUUGAUCGAGAAGGCUUGAAAAAAACACUAGGAAAAAGGAAGUAAAAGUAGCGAAGAACGAUUAGGCGACAAUUUCGUACAGUAUUUUAUCUUUUUUUAAAUAUAAUUACGUAAUUAUCGAAUAAACUUUCACUUCCUAUUAAAUAUCGUAAUAAACAAUGACCAAGUAACGUUGGUCAAAUUCUCAAUUUUUAUAAAACUGAUAAAAUAUUUAGCAAAAACGAUAAAAGCUCAUAGCACAGGCACAGGCUCGCGA
rnacentral:misc_RNA from 1 species